rnacentral:tRNA from 1 species
AUUUAUGUAGUUUAUAUAAAAACAUUACAUUUUCACUGUAAAAAUAAAAUUUAUUUUCAUAAAUA